rnacentral:rRNA from 1 species
UACGUAGGGGGCUAGCGUUGUCCGGAAUCAUUGGGCGUAAAGCGUCCGCAGGUGGCUGUGUAAGUCUGCUGUUAAAUAGUGAGGCUCAACCUCAUAAAGGCAGUGGAAACUACACGGCUAGAGUGCGUUCGGGGCAGAGGGAAUUCCUGGUGUAGCGGUGAAAUGCGUAGAGAUCAGGAAGAACACCGGUGGCGAAAGCGCUCUGCUAGGCCGCAACUGACACUGAGGGACGAAAGCUAGGGGAGCGAAUGGG